rnacentral:sRNA from 1 species
GGGCAUUGCCCUAGUGCGGCGAGUGAAGCGGCAACAGCUCAAAUUUGAAAUCUGGCGUCUUUGGCGUCCGAGUUGUAAUUUGCACAGGGCGCUUUGGCAUUGGCAGCGGUCCAAGUUCCUUGGAACAGGACGUCACAGAGGGUGAGAAUCCCGUACGUGGUCGCUAGCCUCUACCGUGUAAAGCCCCUUCGACGAGUCGAGUUGUUUGGGAAUGCAGCUCUAAAUGGGAGGUAAAUUUCUUCUAAAGCUAAAUACUGGCCAGAGACCGAUAGCGCACAAGUAGAGUGAUCGAAAGAUGAAAAGCACUUUGGAAAGAGAGUUAAAAAGCACGUGAAAUUGUUGAAAGGGAAGCGCUUGCAGCCAGACUUGCCUGUAGUUGCUCAUCCGGGUUUUUACCCGGUGCACUCUUCUACGGGCAGGCCAGCAUCAGUUUGGGCGGUUGGAUAAAGGUCUCUGUCAUGUACCUCCUCUCGGGGAGAACUUAUAGGGGAGACGACAUGCAACCAGCCCGGACUGAGGUCCGCGCAUCUGCUAGGAUGCUGGCGUAAUGGCUGUAAGCGGCCCGUCUUGAAACACGGACCAAGGAGUCUAACAUCUAUGCGAGUGUUUGGGUGUCAAGCCCGAGCGCGUAAUGAAAGUGAACGGAGGUGGGAACCUUUCGGGGUGCACCAUCGACCGAUCCUGAUGUCUUCGGAUGGAUUUGAGUAAGAGCAUAGCUGUUGGGACCCGAAAGAUGGUGAACUAUGCUUGAAUAGGGUGAAGCCAGAGGAAACUCUGGUGGAGGCUCGCAGCGGUUCUGACGUGCAAAUCGAUCGUCAAAUUUGGGCAUAGGGGCGAAAGACUAAUCGAACAUC